rnacentral:snoRNA from 1 species
UUUAAAACAGCAUUGGGCAUGGACCAAUUUUUGCCUUUUACUCAGCCAAGGAUAUCUUUGCAGAAAUAAUUUUAAGACUGAGAUUUUAAA